UGCCGCACUUACGGGAAAGAAAAGAACAAAACUAACAAUUUCGUGGUCGGAACCAAUAAUUUUAAAGUCGAGACAAUAAAGGACUAUGAGAGAACACAAAGUCAUCAGGAGAGCCUACGAAUUAAAGCUGCCAAGACAGGUCCUAUCGAAGAGAGCCUUGCUGGGAGAAGCCUCGCUUUAUGGAACACGUCGGAGAUGGAAAAGAUGCAGCUACUUUUUCGAAAUGCCCACGCCAUCGGAAAAAAGGGCAGGCCUUUCACCGACUUAGAAUGGAUGUGUGAUCCCAGGAGGCCACAAACAUCAAUGCUGUUCUGAGGGCAAAAGCCAAGGGGUUCCUCAACAUAGGGAAGAAUGGUGGAGUGCUCAGGUUUUGCUGCCUUCUCUAUGACACCAUCUAUCAACUGAGCAACCUCUCCAAGUCACUGCAGAGGUCAGUGUCAACCCUGGCUGAAGCACAGAGUUGCCUUUCCUCCACUCAGGCUGUCAUAGAAAAGUACAAGUCCAGACCUGGGCCUAAGCUGAGAGCAGUGCUGGACAGAGACACCUAUGAGGGAGUCCUCCUGAAGCCUACUGAUGCUGACCAGCAUGACAAGGCAAAGAAUGAGCUAAUCGAUUCUCUGUGCCGGUGCAUCACUGCUAGAUUUAGUGAUGUGAACAGUGGUGUCCUGCAGGCUAUCCGGCUGACCAGUUUCCAGUGCUGGCCAGAG